AUUCGAUUGAGGCAGCAGUGGGGAAUUUUGCGCAAUGGGCGAAAGCCUGACGCAGCAACGCCGCGUGAGUGAUGAAGGCUUUCGGGUCGUAAAGCUCUGUCGAUGGGAAAGAAGUGUAAGGUGGUUAAUACCCGCUUUACUUGACGGUACCCAUAAAGGAAGCACCGGCUAACUCCGUGCCAGCAGCCGCGGUAAUACGGGGGGUGCAAGCGUUGUUCGGAAUUAUUGGGCGUAAAGCGCGUGUAGGCGGUUUGAUUAGUCUGAUGUGAAAGCCCUGGGCUCAACCCAGGAAGUGCAUUGGAAACUGUCAGACUUGAAUACGGGAGAGGGUAGUGGAAUUCCUAGUGUAGGAGUGAAAUCCGUAGAUAUUAGGAGGAACACCGGUGGCGAAGGCGGCUACCUGGACCGAUAUUGACGCUGAGACGCGAAAGCGUGGGUAGCAAACAGGAUUAGAUACCCUGGUAGUCCACGCCGUAAACGAUGAGAACUAGGUGUUGCGGGUAUUGACCCCUGCAGUGCCGCAGCUAACGCAUUAAGUUCUCCGCCUGGGAAGUACGGUCGCAAGACUAAAACUCAAAGGAAUUGACGG
rnacentral:rRNA from 1 species